GACGAACGCUUGCGGCGUGCUUGACACAUGCAAGUCGAACGGAAAGGCCCUGCUUUUGUGGGGUGCUCGAGUGGCGAACGGGUGAGUAACACGUGAGUAACCUGCCCUUGACUUUGGGAUAACUUCAGGAAACUGGGGCUAAUACCGGAUAGGAGCUCCUGCUGCAUGGUGGGGGUUGGAAAGUUUCGGCGGUUGGGGAUGGACUCGCGGCUUAUCAGCUUGUUGGUGGGGUAGUGGCUUACCAAGGCUUUGACGGGUAGCCGGCCUGAGAGGGUGACCGGCCACAUUGGGACUGAGAUACGGCCCAGACUCCUACGGGAGGCAGCAGUGGGGAAUAUUGCACAAUGGGCGGAAGCCUGAUGCAGCAACGCCGCGUGCGGGAUGACGGCCUUCGGGUUGUAAACCGCUUUCGCCUGUGACGAAGCGUGAGUGACGGUAAUGGGUAAAGAAGCACCGGCUAACUACGUG
rnacentral:rRNA from 1 species